CUUGGAUCAAUGAUGUGUCCAGAAUCUGCAUCAUCUUUCUGUAACUCUUUUAAAGGAUUUGAAGGUGACACAAAGCUGCUGAAAUCUGAG